GUGUUUUGGUAGAAAAAGGUCAAUGUGUUUCUGUCACAGCCCGUCCCGGAGGUACUUUUGACGGGAAUGUGAAAUGACAGAAUUGCCCUUAUUGGACAUUAAGGUACGUAGGUACGUAACGUUAUUUUGAAAAUAGCAUUGGUUGGAUGGGAUUUUAUUGGAAAUUGAUUUUUGGUAUAAUUGGUUAGGAUGAAAUGGAGGGUGUGGAUUAAUUUGGACCACACAUGACCUUCCUCUCUCCCUCUCCUUUCCCCGUGCUUUCCCUGUCUCUGUCUCUCCCUCACGAACUCACACCCUCACACACCCAUAUCGUACGGACCACCACCAAAACCCUUCAAAACUUGACGGAUCGGGGCAAAUAAGGAGAUUUCAAGCUUGUGGUGAGCUUUAGGAGGUCCUAAGGAAGCUCGGGGACGUUCGUUGGAGAAUUUUGGACGCCGGGAUCGUAGGUUUCAAGUUUGGCCGAACCCUUGGUUUUUGCAAGGUGAGACGUAUCACGAGGACGACCGCAUCCAGGGACGCCACGGGGGUUACGACCCGUCGACUUAU